GGGUCAUCUGUCAGGAUAUCGGGGGAUGGGAUAGAUGGAGAAGAAUCUACAUAUCAUUUGCAACAAACCAGCCAUGAGUUUUGCUUGAUGAUGAAAGGAUAGAAGGUGUUGCACUGGAACAAAAAGCUCCGCUAUCCAACUAAAUCGAUGUGAAAAUGUGGCAGGUUGAAAGAAGACUACAUCAAAAAAUAUUUUAAAUUCUGUAAUACAAAUAUCUGGGAACAAAAGAUGUUUGAGCAGGCGAAGAAUGCCUCUACUUUUAAGGCUGGGUUAAAACGUUUUCCCAUUUCUUUCAACAGUUGAUGCUAGGGUUUAUCUUGAUUGUUACCCAUUGAAGUUCAAUUGGAACCUUUGCUCAAAGUCAUCAUCACCACUCCAUAGCCAGAGCCCAUGAAAAAGCUACCAUUUUGAAUGUUUCUGUUCCCUGUUGCACUAACAGAGAAAGAGAUUAUGUGGCAAAUUAUCCCAUUGGCUCUUUAAAGUAUGUACAGAAGUUAAACCUGGCCAAAGCAGGUCUAAUGGCCACUGCAAACUUCAAAGAACAUGGAAACAAGACAUUCUACUCUGCAUGUGCCUACAAGAAUGAACAUUGUAGGUAUUGUGAAGAACACUAAUGACUCCCACACUUAAGAGGAGAAAGAGAGAGAGAUGGUGUGGGGGAAAUAGUGAGAGGAGAAAGAAGACAGGUAAUAAGACAUUUUGAUCAUAGAGACUUGUUCACUUGACAGAAAUCCAUUCCUUGUGUGGAAAUCGCACCUAUCUCCCUGAAGUUUUCUUUUAAUUAAACUUCCUUGGUGGUUAUCAAGGAUCUUAGCAUUAUUUUGCCUGCAAGUUUAUCUAAGAGAAAGAGAGAAUGAGACACGCACACACACACACACACACAGAGAGGAGAUAAAAUUCAUUGAAAUAAAACCAAAAGAAUGUUAAUGAAAGUAAAACAGAAAACAUUGAAUUUGAGGUCCACUACCUUAUUUGCAUCAAGUUCAGCUUAAUUUACAUUAUUCUCAUGUAGUGCUCAUCCAUCGUGUUAUAGAUUACAUUAUAAUUAUAUAACGUAUAUUUAAUGGACAGUAACGAGUUAAAGAUAAAAGUGCUGAGAGAGUGUUUCUCUUGUUCUCUGCCAGCCGUAGGCCUUUGAUAUAUGGCUACUUUGAUUUAAAGAAACAGAGAACAUAUAAAUAAAGGAUUUUCUUAGUUUCUCGAUGAGAACUGUCUUCUUUGUGGAACUACACAGAAGUUAGCCGUUUCCUAUCCAAAAAAAUAGAUUUUCUUGUGGGUUAGAUAAAUAAUUUCUCCUACAACACAGAAGGAGAGAGAGAAAGCUUCAGAAAGACACAAGGCAUCAGAAUACAUCAUAAAGAGUGUAUUCCCUCAGCAAAGAAGCUAGUGAUGCAAAGAAAAAGGUUCAUGAUAUAAGAUCCAAAGCAACUGAAGGCUCAAUGGCAGGAAUAGAACUCAAGGUGGUAAAGAGUGUGUGGUGUACAGACAGCAAAAGAUAGGACAAUUUAAUCAAUGAAUUAGAAAAAGAACAGUUUAAAGAGAAGAAAGAAAGAAAAAGGAAACCAGUGGGUUCUUGAAGAUUGGACAAAGCACUGCAAAUCUAGUAAAAUCGUAAUAAAUAUCAAUCUGCCACCUUCAGAAGGAGCAUCAUAGAAGGCUAAAAUACUUCCUCUCAUAGGCAGUGGCUGUACAAAAGCUUCUGAAGAGACUUUAGCAGGAAUGAGGACACCAAGGAAAGUGUUAAAUUCAAAAAUAAGGGUAUACAAUCAAAAAGCUCAUAAACCGAUGCUUUUGAAUAAUGCUUUCAGAAAGAACAUCUAUAAUUUGGAGAUUAAAUGUUGUGCUUUGAAAAAGACCUGUAUGAACCUUCCAUAAGAGAGCACUUCCAAAAUAUAUUUGUCAACAUGUGAAAGCUGGAACCGAGCACUGAUUAAUCAAUCAUAUACAACAGAUUAGUUAUUGAUGAAGAGUUGGUUCACAGACCUAAAUGUAAAAUGCAAAACUAUGAAUCAGGAAGAUAGCACAGGAGAAAACCUGCAAGACCUUGGAUUGGGUGAUGACUUUUUAAAUACAACAUUAAAAGCAGGAUCCACGAAAGAAAACAAUGGAACGUGAGUUAGAGGUGAACCCCUUAAGACGAGCACAACAGCUUCUAUGGUCUAGAUCCAUUUCUUCUACUCCUGGAUGAUGAAAUUCUUCACCUGUGGAGAAUAGAGAUUGAAUAUUGCUACAGAUUGUGAGGCCGUCUAUCAUAUUUGUCAAACACUAUCAAGAUUCAAUUGUGGGACACAAUCUUACUUUGAUGAUCACAUGCAUAUUUUCUAGGUUUAGAAAGCUUCAAAGAGUGUAACUCCUACUCUGGAAACAAACAAAGCCAGAUGGAACAAAAACCAUAACUUUUCUUGGAACUAUAAAAGAACUGAAUUUGUAGGACAGCCAAAUAGCCUGAAAUAUAAGGAGAGAUAGAUAUCUCCAAAUAGAGAUAUGAUAUGAACACUGGCUUACCAGUGGCAGAGCAUAAGAGGAAGAGACUCUGAAGAAUAUAAAAAUAACCAAAAAAAUAAUUUAAAUUAAUGGCUAAUGUAUGGGUAAGCACGACAGCCACAGAAAUCCUACUGUAGAACAGUAAGAGAUAUCUGGAACAUCUCCAAAUAUUUGGAAAUUAAACAAUAUAGUCAUAAAAAUCAAAGGCCAAAGAAAGUCACACAGUAAAUGGGAAAAUAUUUUUGAAUUGAAAUAAAAUUAAAUGCAACAUAUCAAAAUUUGUGGGAUACAGCUAAAGCAACACUCAGAGCAAAGUUAGAGGUCUUAAUCAAUGACCUAAUUUUCUACCCUUAGAAGGCAAGGAAAAGAAGAGCAAAGUAUGCCCAAAGCAAGUGGAAGAAAGGAAAUAAUGAAGUUUUUUUCUCUGGAGUGCCUUCCUAUACUGAAAAGACAUUGUCCGUAAAUCAGAUUCCACAAAUUACUCCAUUGGUAUGGAGUGAUAUCUCAUCAUAAUUCUAAUUUGCACUUUUCCUAAUGACUGAAGAUGUCAUCUCAUGUGCCCGCUAACUAUACAGUUCUCAACUUAAGAUCAAUUCAUGACUUCAGGAGAUUGAAACAGGAAAACCUGAGCAUUGGCACCAUGAUUUCUAAGAAUCCUUCUUUCUUAGCUUAAACAGAUCAUCUGGGUUUAAUUCUUAAAUAUCCAUAUGUAAUUGGAUUUUUGGUUAUGGCCCAAAGUAAACUGAAAACUUUAAGACCUGAGCCAAGAUCUAACUCAUAUUAGUCUGGAGAUGAGAAACACAUCAUUUCUUUAUGAAAUGUUGAAUAAUAGAUAUUUUGUUAAUGAAAAUAUUAAAUCUCAUUUCAUAUGUAAAUUAUGAAUAAAUAUGGAGUAAAUCCUACUCAGUGUUAAAGCUAUGUUGUAUGAAAAAUGAUCUAGCUUAUGUAUCAUUGAAUGAAUCUGAAAGUAAUACGUGAAUUCAUACAAACAAAAACAAAGAAACUUCAUUUUUUUCUCCAAUUUAUAAAAUUAAGUUUCUAGAGAAAAAACUUGACUUUGUAUCACAAAGCAAACUGUAGACUUCUGAAUAAUACUGAUGAUCUGGAGGCAAGUGUCUUGUGUGAAUGGUAAUAGCUGCUAAGGGCUUCGGGAAUGAUUUUCAGAAUGUUGUAAAACUAUGAACACAAAAUUUAGCUGUGAUUUUUAUUUUAUUUUAUUUUAUUUUAUUAUUUUAUGAGUUGUGAUUUUAAAAAUGUGUACCAAUUAAAAUACAAUUCCUCAGAAUUAUCAUCA